rnacentral:rRNA from 1 species
GAUGAACGCUGGCGGCGUGCUUAACACAUGCAAGUCGAACGAAGACAUCUGAGUGCUUGCACUUGGAUGGACUGAGUGGCGGACGGGUGAGUAACGCGUGGGUAACCUGCCUUAUACAGGGGGAUAACAGUUGGAAACGACUGCUAAUACCGCAUAAGCGCACGGUAUCGCAUGAUACAGUGUGAAAAACUCCGGUGGUAUAAGAUGGACCCGCGUCUGAUUAGCUUGUUGGUGAGGUAACGGCCCACCAAGGCGACGAUCAGUAGCCGGCCUGAGAGGGUGAACGGCCACAUUGGGACUGAGACACGGCCCAAACUCCUACGGGAGGCAGCAGUGGGGAACAUUGCACAAUGGGGGAAACCCUGAUGCAGCGACGCCGCGUGAGCGAAGAAGUAUUUCGGUAUGUAAAGCUCUAUCAGCAGGGAAGAAAAUGACGGUACCUGACUAAGAAGCCCCGGCUAACUACGUGCCAGCCGCCGCGGUAA